UCUGUGUUGGUAAUCCUGUCGAACACUGCUUUUUAAAAAAUGUUUUGUAUUGUGGAGCUGCAUAAGUGUUUCUCUCCGUUUUCUGGAGGAUCAAGAUUUGAAAUCAGUGUAAUUAGAGUAUGAUAGCUAAAGAGAUGGAGAAAACACCUGACUCUGGAUAACAUCUUCAAACCGUGCAACCGUGAAUUUCUUGGAUUUGUUGCCUGUUAAUUGGAGGGAUAACCUGUUAUCCUCCACCUAAAGGUAACUAUAGAUAUAUUCCCCCAAAUAAAUUAAAAGGAACCACGACUGGCCCAAAUACUUUAGGUGGAGCAACUGGAUCCCGUACCUCAGCAGCAGAAGCAGCCACCCACAAUGCCUCAGCAAGUGCCACGACUGGCCCAAAUACUUUAGGUGAAGCAACUGGAUCCCGUACCGCAGAAGCAGCCACCCACAAUGCCUCAGCAAGCGCCACGACUGGCCCAAAUACUUUAGGUGAAGCAACUGGCCACAGUGCCUCGGCAGCGGCCCCCGUAAUGCCUCGGCAGCGGAAGCGGCCACCCAUAAUGCCUCGGCAAGUGUGGUAACUGGCCCAAAUACCUUAGGUGAAUCACCUGGCCACAAUGCUUCAUCAGGUGUCACGGGCGUGCCCAAAUACCAUGGGUGAAGCAUCUGACUCCCGUGCCUCAGCAGCAGCAGCAACCCGAAAUGCCUCAGCAAGCGUCACAGCUGGGCCAAAUACCUUAGGUGAAGCAACUGGCCACGGUUUCUCGGAAACAACUGGCCACAGUGCCUCGGCAGCGGAAGCUACUGGCCACAGUGCCUCGCAAGCGGCCCCCCGUAAUGCAGCGGAAGCGGCCACCCAUAAUGCCUCGGCAAGUGUGCUAACCGGCCCAAAUACCUUAGGUGAAGCAACUGGCCACAAUGCUUCAUCAGGCGUCACGGCUGGCCCAAAUACCUUGGGUGAAGCAUCCGACUCUCGUGCCUCAACAGCAACCCGAAAUGCCUCAGCAAGCGUCACGGCUGGGCCAAAUACCUUAGGUGAAGCAACUGGCCACGGUUCCUCGGCAGCAGAAGCAACUGGCCACAGUGCCACCCACAAUGCCUCGGCAAGUGUGGCAACUGGCCCAAAUACCUUAGGUGAAGCACCUGGCCACAAUGCUUCAUCAGGUGUCACGGCUGGCCCAAAUACCUUGGGUGAAGCAUCCGACUCCCGUGCCUCAGCAGAAGCAGCCACCCACAAUGCCUCAGCAAGCGUCACGGCUGGCCCAAAUACCUUAUGUGAAGCAACCGGCCACUUUGCCUCGGCAGUGGAAGCAACCGGCCACAGUGCCUCAUCAAGUGCGGAAUCUGGUUCAAAUGCCUCGGCAGAAGCGACAGGCGCCCUUGCCUCGGCAGAAGCGACAGGCGCCCUUGCCUCGGCAGAAGCGACAGGCGCCCUUGCCUCGGCAGAAGCGACAGGCGCCCUUGCCUCGGCAGAAGCGACAGGCGCCCUUGCCUCGGCAGAAGCGACAGGCGCCCUUGCCUCGGCA
rnacentral:lncRNA from 1 species